rnacentral:rRNA from 1 species
GUGGGGAAUCUUAGACAAUGGGCGCAAGCCUGAUCUAGCCAUGCCGCGUGAGCGAUGAAGGCCUUAGGGUUGUAAAGCUCUUUCGCUGGGGAAGAUAAUGACUGUACCCAGUAAAGAAGCCCCGGCUAACUCCGUGCCAGCAGCCGCGGUAAUACGGAGGGGGCUAGCGUUGUUCGGAAUUACUGGGCGUAAAGCGCGCGUAGGCGGAUUGGAAAGUUGGGGGUGAAAUCCCGGGGCUCAACCCCGGAACUGCCUUUGAAACUCCCAGUCUUGAGGUCGAGAGAGGUGGGUGGAAUUCCGAGUGUAGAGGUGAAAUUCGUAGAUAUUCGGAGGAACACCAGUGGCGAAGGCGGCCCACUGGCUCGAUACUGACGCUGAGGUGCGAAAGCGUGGGGAGCAAACAGGAUUAGAAACCCUAGUAGUCC